GGGUUUGUAGCUCAGUGGUAGAGCAUCCGGCUUUUAACCGGUCGGCCGAGGGUUCGACCCCCUCCAAACCCA
rnacentral:tRNA from 1 species